AGGGAGGCGAGUGAGAUGGUAGGUCUGAUGCUCAUGACUUUGAGUCCAUAGAUUUGUGAGGGUGCUUUCCGAGGCUGCCCAAUACCUGUGAACACGGACCACUCCUGUAUGUGGUCCUCCCAGAUGUUGAACUCUCCUAAGGAAGGCAGGGGCCAUGCCUUCCUGGUUGUUGCGACCACAGCAGCAUGUACCACAGUGAUUUUGCUAAAGAAUCCUAAUUGGAUACUAGCUGAAAAAACCUGGGCGGCUGGAGUAGGUCCAUAAAUACUGUCUCUGUGGCAUAAACUAGUGCUUCUCAAACUUUGUUAUGCUUACCAAUGACCUAGAGAUCUGGUGAAAAUGUGGAUCCUGGUUCAGUAAAUCUGGGACGGAGCCUAAGAGUCUGCAUAUCUCCCAAGAUUUCCCACACUGCAUAAAGGUAUUAACUGAGGAUUCCAAUUGGGUGUGUUAAUCCACUGAAGCUCAGCUGUCUGAAGACAGUGGAAAUUCUGCCCCCGCCCCCCACCCGCCCCGAUCCCGGAAACCACUGGUGUGGGAGGUGAUCAUUUCAAUCUGGUUGUUCCUAUUGCUCAACCCACAGGCAGGAAUCGUGCCUGGGCCUUGAGAGAAAAAGAGGCCUCCCUGGGCCGAGCUCCUUGUGAACAUAUGACUUCUCACCGCACCUGGUUUUGUUUUUCCGUCUUAUAGCAUCUGACAGGCCGUUAAUAGCGCAUGAAAGAACUGUGUCCAAACUGUACUUUGAAGGAAUCAGAAAGUACUGCUUUUGAAUGAUUUCCUUCCCAUCGCAAGUCCCAAAUCCACUCCAGCAAGAGGCCUGGAUGCCGUGUGGCUUCCUUGAACGUUCAGCUGGUGUCUACGCCAACACAAGGAACAACCAAAUUAACCCAACCCUAGCCGCUUCAGGGCACUCACUGGAGGUGACAAUUUCACUUCAAAAGAGGCAAAGACUUCCAGGAUUAAUUAACACCAGUGAUCACGUGAUAAGAUUGAGCCAGCAGAGAGCAUUAAUGUAUCACAUGGGAUGAACAGACCAGCCCUUGAAGAGGGAAAAAAAAACAAGCAUAUCCUUAAGCAGGAGACUUGAAGAGCCAAGAGUCAGGGAAUCUUUGAAAGAUUUCUAACAUCUGAAGAGAGUAGCUGGUGGCAAAAGCUGGAAUGAGAACACUGUGGGCUGGAGUAAUAAGAGGCUAAAAGUGAAAUUCUGAGCAUGGCAAUGGUAAAGUCUACGAAUGAGCUGGAGAAAAGGUGAGAGCCCCGGUUGAGUGGGGACAAAAGUCCAGGCAGUGCCUACUUGCCAGCAGGAUGUCAACAUGAAAAGCCAAAUUCCCCCAUAAGUGGAAGCCAUGGAGUAUUUCCAAUCAUUUCUGCAUUUUGUGUUGGGGUGGCUAAAACAUCUGAGAGAUUGAAUUGUUUACUCUUCAGUGGACUUAAUUCAGUGGAAACAUAGUCUUUAAUAAAUGACUAUUAGUCCACUUUCUACUGUGGAGAUUUAAACAUAUAUACAAAAGUGGAAAGAAUAUUAUGAUGUCCGAGGUGCCCAUGACUCAUUACCCAGGACUAACAAUGAUCAAUAGUUUGUCAUGCUUGAUGCCUACUCAUUUUAGAAAGAUGAGUUCAGGGGAAUUUUAAUUAGUGUGUGUCCUGAAGAAGAGCUUGCGUCCACCUCUCCAUCUCAUUUGCACUUUUAAAUCAAAACAACCCCCAAAGAGCCAGCAGAGAGCUAUGUGGGGACUAUUUUUCUUUUUCUUUUUCUUUUUCUUUUUUUUUUUUUUUUUUUUUGUCUCCUUGCUAUCUCUUGGGCCGCUCCCGUGGCACAUGGAGGGUCCCAGGCUAGGGGUCGAAUCGGAGCUGUAGCCACC
rnacentral:lncRNA from 1 species